AAUGCAUAAGGGAGCUGAGUUUCUGCCAUUCUGGGAGAAACCAGGUUCGGCAGCCGAAGGAACUUUCGGCCGCCGAACGUGCUUGUGGAGGCAGCCUUCGGCUGCCGAAGCUUGCCCCCGAAAGGAGACUUUCGUCUCUGUCUGGAAGUUUCGGCCGCCGAAAGUGCCGCCGAACAUGCAUGAGUUUCGCCUCUGUCUGGGAGUUUCGGCCGCCGAAGGUGCCGCCGAACCUGCCUGACUUUCGGCUCUGGAGGGACUUUCGGCCGCCGAACCUGCCGCCGAAAGUGCCCUGUCCAGCCCUUUCUUGCAUGUUUUUCUAUGAUUAUUCUAUGAUGUUUUAGGGGGUUUUUGGGGAAUAGUUUAG
rnacentral:lncRNA from 1 species